GGGCGGCUAGCUCAGGGUAGAGCAUCGCAUUCACACUGCGGGGGUCGGGGGUUCGAAACCCUCGCCGCCCACCA
rnacentral:tRNA from 1 species